rfam:Oryza barthii chromosome 7, whole genome shotgun sequence.
AAAAAGUCAAAUCCUGGAUUUCCGUGUCCAACUUUGAUUGUCCAUCUUAUAUGAAACUUUUUUAUAAUUCAUAUUUUCAUUGUUGUUAGAUGAUAAAACAUGAUUAAUAUUUUAUACGUGACUUAUCUUUUUAAUUUUUUCAUAAUUUUUUCAAAUAAGACGGACGGUCAAACGUUUAACACGGAAAUCAGGGUUUGCCUUUUU